rnacentral:misc_RNA from 1 species
GAUGUUUGAUCAGCGACAGAAAUCCAUGGGUCUUCCAACAAGUGAUGAGACGCAGAAACAAGAAAUUCUCAAGAAAUUUAUGGCAGAGCAUCCUGAAAUGGACUUCUCAAAGGCAAAGAUAUCCUGAUAUGCUGGUAAUAUGCCUGGCAGUGUUGCUUCUUGGAAAGUGUUUCUUAGCAGGAAGAAGCUAAAUCAUCUUUUUGGCUACUCUUUAACUUUGCUCUUUUAUUGGGAUAGUGGGACUUGGAAAUUUAUGUGCGUUGAGGUACUUUGUAUCUGAUAGGUGUCUUUCGUGAAACUCAGGGAGUUAUCUAUACGUACUGGUUGUAAACAGGUUACUAGAACUUUGGUUUCUUGAUUCUACCAUAUUUAAUCGAACAGCAGCUCAUGUAUUUGGGUUUCCUUCCUUGGCAGUUGGCAUGAAGUUUUAUGUGUUGGGUGGCGUAUUUUUCGUUAUUUGUGUGUGUCGUUUUGUUUAUUUGAUUAUUGUAUUUUAAUGUGAUGAUGUUU